rnacentral:rRNA from 1 species
AUUGAACGCUGGCGGCAUGCCUUACACAUGCAAGUCGAACGGUAACAGGUCUUCGGAUGCUGACGAGUGGCGAACGGGUGAGUAAUACAUCGGAACGUGCCUAGUAGUGGGGGAUAACUACUCGAAAGAGUGGCUAAUACCGCAUGAGAUCUACGGAUGAAAGCAGGGGAUCGCAAGACCUUGUGCUACUAGAGCGGCCGAUGGCAGAUUAGGUAGUUGGUGGGAUAAAAGCUUACCAAGCCGACGAACUGUAGCUGGUCUGAGAGGACGAUCAGCCACACUGGGACUGAGACACGGCCCAGACUCCUACGGGAGGCGGCAGUGGGGAAUUUUGGACAAUGGGCGAAAGCCUGAUCCAGCUAUGCCGCGUGCAGGAUGAAGGCAUUCGGGUUGUAAACUGCUUUUGUACGGAACGAAAAGCCCCGGGUUAAUACCCUGGGGUCAUGACGGUACCGUAAGAAUAAGCACCGGCUAACUACGUGCCAGCCGCCGCCGUAA